rnacentral:rRNA from 1 species
GAGUUGCGAACGGGUGAGUAACGCGUAGGUAACCUGCCUGGUAGCGGGGGAUAACUAUUGGAAACGAUAGCUAAUACCGCAUAAGAACAUUUACUGCAUGGUAGAUGUUUAAAAGGUGCAAAUGCAUCACUACCAGAUGGACCUGCGUUGUAUUAGCUAGUUGGUGAGGUAACGGCUCACCAAGGCAACGAUACAUAGCCGACCUGAGAGGGUGAUCGGCCACACUGGGACUGAGACACGGCCCAGACUCCUACGGGAGGCAGCAGUAGGGAAUCUUCGGCAAUGGGGGGAACCCUGACCGAGCAACGCCGCGUGAGUGAAGAAGGUUUUCGGAUCGUAAAGCUCUGUUGUUAAGGAAGAACGUGUGUGAGAGUGGAAAGUUCACACAGUGACGGUACUUAACCAGAAAGGGACGGCUAACUACGUGCCAGCAGCCGCGGUAAUACGUAGGUCCCGAGCGUUGUCCGGAUUUAUUGGGCGUAAAGCGAGCGCAGGCGGUUAGAUAAGUCUGAAGUGAAAGGCAGUGGCUCAACCAUUGUAGGCUUUGGAAACUGUUUAACUUGAGUGCAGAAGGGGAGAGUGGAAUUCCAUGUGUAGCGGUGAAAUGCGUAGAUAUAUGGAGGAACACCGGUGGCGAAAGCGGCUCUCUGGUCUGUAACUGACGCUGAGGCUCGAAAGCGUGGGGAGCGAACAGGAUUAGAUACCCUGGUAGUCCACGCCGUAAACGAUGAGUGCUAGGUGUUAGGUCCUUUCCGGGACUUAGUGCCGCAGCUAACGCAUUAAGCACUCCGCCUGGGGAGUACGACCGCAAGGUUGAAACUCAAAGGAAUUGACGGGGGCCCGCACAAGCGGUGGAGCAUGUGGUUUAAUUCGAAGCAACGCGAAGAACCUUACCAGGUCUUGACAUCCCUCUGACCACUCUAGAGAUAGAGUUUCCCUUCGGGGCAGAGGUGACAGGUGGUGCAUGGUUGUCGUCAGCUCGUGUCGUGAGAUGUUGGGUUAAGUCCCGCAACGAGCGCAACCCUUAUUGUUAGUUGCCAUCAUUCAGUUGGGCACUCUAGCGAGACUGCCGGUAAUAAACCGGAGGAAGGUGGGGAUGACGUCAAAUCAUCAUGCCCCUUAUGACCUGGGCUACACACGUGCUACAAUGGCUGGUACAACGAGUCGCAAGCCGGUGACGGCAAGCUAAUCUCUGAAAGCCAGUCUCAGUUCGGAUUGUAGGCUGCAACUCGCCUACAUGAAGUCGGAAUC